rnacentral:rRNA from 1 species
CGAUGAAGGCCCUAUGGGUUGUAAAGUUCUGUUGCAUGGGACGAACGAUUAGGAUAGGAAAUGAUCUUAAUGUGACGGUACCAUGCCAGAAAGCUCCGGCUAACUACGUGCCAGCAGCCGCGGUAAUACGUAGGGAGCAAGCGUUAUCCGGAUUUAUUGGGCGUAAAGGGUGCGUAGGCGGUUUGUUAAGUAUGAGAUUAAAGCCCGAGGCUUAACCUCGGUUCGUUUCAUAAACUGGCAGGCUUGAGUGUGGCAGAGGUAAACGGAAUUUCUAGUGUAGCGGUUAAAUGCGUAGAUAUUAGAAGGAACACCAGUGGCGAAGGCGGUUUACUGGGCCAUAACUGACGCUGAGGCACGAAAGCGUGGGGAGCAAAUAGGAUUAGAUACCCUAGUAGUCCACGCCGUAAACGAUGAGUACUAAGUGUUGGGGCAACCCAGUGCUGAAGUUAACACAUUAAGUACUCCGCCUGAGUAGUACGGUCGCAAGGCUGAAACUCAAAGGAAUUGACGGGCACCCGCACAAGCGGUGGAGCAUGCUGUUUAAUUCGAAGAUACGCGAAGAACCUUACCAGGGCUUGACAUCCCACUGACCGCUUUAGAAAUAAGGCUUUCCCUUCGGGGACAGUGGUGACAGGUGGUGCAUGGUUGUCGUCAGCUCGUGUCGUGAGAUGUUCGGUUAAGUCCGAUAACGAGCGCAACCCUUUUCUCUAAUUGCUAACAUUCAGUUGAGAACCUUAGAGAUACUGCCGGUGACAAACCGGAGGAAGGUGGGGAUGACGUCAAAUCAUCAUGCCCCUUACGUCCUGGGCUACAGGCGUGCUAUAAUGGCAGAUAUAAAAAGUCGCAAAACCGUGAGGUGGAGCUAAUCUGUAAAGUCUGUCUCAGUUCGGAUUGAAGUCUGCAACUCGACUUCAUGAAGCUAGAAUUGCUAGUAAUCGUGGAUCAGAAUGCCACGGUGAAUACGUUCCCGGGUGUUGUACACACCGCCCGUCACGCCAUGGGAGUCUGUAAUAUCUAAAAAUGGUAGCCUAACCGUUUACGGAGGGAUCCAUCUAAGGUAGGACAGGUGACUGGGGUGAAGUCGUAACAAGGUAUCACUACCGGAAGGUGGGGAUG